UACGUAGGGGGCAAGCGUUGUCCGGAAUCAUUGGGCGUAAAGAGCGUGUAGGCGGUCCGGUAAGUCGGUUGUGAAAGUCCAGGGCUCAACCCUGGGAUGCCGAUCGAUACUGCCGGACUAGAGUUCGGAAGAGGCGAGUGGAAUUCCCGGUGUAGCGGUGAAAUGCGCAGAUAUCGGGAGGAACACCAAUUGCGAAGGCAGCUCGCUGGGACGUUACUGACGCUGAGACGCGAAAGCGUGGGGAGCAAACAGG
rnacentral:rRNA from 1 species